rnacentral:misc_RNA from 1 species
GAUGAAGAACGUAGCAAAAUGCGAUACUUGGUGUGAAUUGCAGAAUCCCGUGAACCAUCGAGUUUUUGAACGCAAGUUGCGCCCGAAGCCUUUUGGCCGAGGGCACGUCUGCCUGGGCGUCACGCAUCGCGUCGCCCCCCACAAAUUCUCCGUCAGGGGAGCUUGUGUUUCGGGGGCGGAUACUGGUCUCCCGUGCUCAUGGCGCGGUUGCCGAAAUAGGAGUCCCUUCGAUGGACGCACGAACUAGUGGUGGUCGUAAAAACCCUCGUCUUUUGUUUCGUGCCGUUAGUCGCGAGGGAAGCUCUUCAAAAACCCCAACGCGUCGUCUCUUGACGGCGCUUCGACCGCGACCCCAGGUCAGGCGGGACUACCCGCUGAGUUUAAGCAUAUCAAUAAGCGGAGGA